rnacentral:rRNA from 1 species
CGGUGUUCAACUGGCGUGUCCGCGGGACGUCCUGCCGGUGGGCUUAGCCCGCAAGGGCGGCCCAACUUCAAAUCCCAUCGCGGUGCUCUUCACUGAGUGUCGAGGUGGGCCGGCACGUUUACUUUGAACAAAUUAGAGUGCUUAAAGCAGGCUAAAACUUCGCCUGAAUACUGUGUGCAUGGAAUAAUGGAAUAGGACCUCGGUUCUAUUUUGUUGGUUUUCGGAACCCCGAGGUAAUGAUUAAUAGGAACGGAUGGGGGCAUUCGUAUUGCGACGUUAGAGGUGAAAUUCUUGGAUCGUCGCAAGACGGACAGAAGCGAAAGCAUUUGCCAAAAACGCUUUCAUUGAUCAAGAACGAAAGUUAGAGGUUCGAAGGCGAUCAGAUACCGCCCUAGUUCUAACCAUAAACGAUGCCAGCUAGCGAUCCGUCGACGUUCCUCCGAUGACUCGACGGGCAGCUUCCGGGAAACCAAAGCUUUUGGGUUCCGGGGGAAGUAUGGUUGCAAAGCUGAAACUUAAAGGAAUUGACGGAAGGGCACCACCAGGAGUGGAGCCUGCGGCUUAAUUUGACUCAACACGGGAAACCUCACCAGGCCCGGACACCGGAAGGAUUGACAGAUUGAGAGCUCUUUCUUGAUUCGGUGGGUGGUGGUGCAUGGCCGUUCUUAGUUGGUGGAGCGAUUUGUCUGGUUAAUUCCGAUAACGAACGAGACUCUAGCCUGCUAACUAGGCGUAUUUUCGACAUCUCAAAGGUCCGUCGUCCCGGCCCUCGGGUCGUGGGCGUGCGCGAUUUUUACUGUCGGCGUACUAUCAAUUCUUCUUAGAGGGACAGGUGGCUUCUAGCCGCACGAGAUUGAGCAAUAACAGGUCUGUGAUG